ensembl:lncRNA
CAUGCGUGUAAACUUACAGCAAAUGAUGUUUCAUUUUAUUUGCACUUAAGCAUGUUUUCAUAGAAAGAGCACAUAACUAGAGCAAGCAGAUACAUCUGCUCACCUGUUUAAAAAAUACAGUCAGCAAUUAGUGAACUUCACUGAGGCAGAUAUGCUGUGGCCAUACAGCGCAUUCAGACAUAGUUAUGAAGGAGGGUCUGACUUUAUUAAUGGGAUUAAACGCGAGCUGUUCCUCAUCACAUCAGUGCUAUAUGGCAGUGCUUUAUUUGGUGCAGAACGCGCUCACAUCAGUCUACAGCUUUUUAACAUGUUAGAAGGGAAAUUUUACAGGAAGGUGCGCCGUUGGAUUUACACCUCAGGAUUUCGCGCGUAAAAGCACAGCGGAGGUAAGAAGCUGCCUCUUCUGUGGCAGACCCAGACGCCCGCUGAUUGGACAAGCGGAAUAUCAGUCACAGCAUGGCCCCGCCCCCACCCUCCCAUUCAACCACUGGCUCUAAUGUAGCCCUGUGUUUACUACAGAAUUAGUGCAUAGCGGACGACAGUCUCCUGAACUGUGAACUCCGAAUCACAAAAGAUAACCUGUUAGUUUUGCAUAAAAGAAGAAAAAUAUCCCAAACUCAACAUGCCCAAGAGAAAGGGAACUGAUGGAGAAGUCAAGGAGGAGCCUCAGAGAAGGUCUGCUAGAUUAUCAGCGAAACCAACGCCUCCAAAACCUGAACCCAAACCGAAAAAAACUCCCAAGAAAGAGAAGGAAGUGAAUGAUAAAAAGGAAGAAAAGAAAGCAAAGGCUGAGGAAUCCAAGGAGGAAAACCAAUCAGAAAAUGGGGAGACUAAGACCAAUGAGGUAUAUAUGUACAUACACAACAGUCUACCUCAAAUCAGUGUCUAUCAUUAAUAAACACACUUUAUUGGUCCCACAGUGGACACAAAAAAUCACGUCAGGUCAUAAUGCUUGUUUAUUGUAUAUUGAGUUUCCUUUCCAAACAUGAGCAAUAAACACAUUUCUGUCUGCUUUUUAAUAUUUUCG